GCGGGUGAAGAGUUUGUGGGCCUUCAAGGCGUUGUUGACGUGGUGAACGAUCGCCACGUUCUCGAUGUCGUAGAGCGAU
rnacentral:sRNA from 1 species